rnacentral:rRNA from 1 species
GGUUCCAUGUGAACGGCACUUGCACAUGGGUAAGCCGAUCCUAAGGGACGGGGUUACCCCAGCAGAGAGCGCGACCACGCGCGUGCCCCGAAAGGGAAUCGGGUUAAGAUUUCCCGAGCCGGGAUGUGGCGGUUGACGACGACGUUAGGAAGUCCGGAGACGCCGGCGGGGGCCUCGGGAAGACUUAAGAUCAUUUUUAGUCCUGGUUGGUAACACCAACCGGGACUAAAAAUCCGGUUUUUAGUUGAACCGGGAGUAUUGUGGAUUUUGGACGACCCGGCAAAGAUCACUUCUCUAGUAGUGC